rnacentral:rRNA from 1 species
AGAACGAACGCUGGCGGCGUGGAUAAGACAUGCAAGUCGAACGGAAUAUACUGGUAGCAAUAUUGGUAUGUUCAGUGGCGAACGGGUGCGUAACACGUGGGUAACAUGCCGGGAAGUGGAGAAUAGCCCAGGGAAACUUGGAUUAAUGCUCCAUGUGGUCGCAAGACUAAAGACGGGGUAACCUGUCGCUUCCUGAUUGGCCCGCGGCCUAUCAGCUAGUUGGCGAGGUAACGGCUCACCAAGCGACGACGGGUAGCGUGGUCUGAGAGGAUGACCAGCCACACUGGAACUGAGACACGGUCCAGACACCGUACGGGUGGCGAGCAGUCGAGAAGUCUUUCACAAGUGGGGACAACCCGUGAUGGAGCGACGCCGCGUCGGAGGAGUAGGUCGUUACGGUAUUAGUAAACUCCUCGUCUAUCGACGAGUAGGUAACGGACCUAACGUGUUAACUG